rnacentral:rRNA from 1 species
AUUGAACGCUGGCGGCAGGCCUAACACAUGCAAGUCGAGCGGAUGAAGGGAGCUUGCUCCUGGAUUCAGCGGCGGACGGGUGAGUAAUGCCUAGGAAUCUGCCUGGUAGUGGGGGAUAACGUCCGGAAACGGGCGCUAAUACCGCAUACGUCCUGAGGGAGAAAGUGGGGGAUCUUCGGACCUCACGCUAUCAGAUGAGCCUAGGUCGGAUUAGCUAGUUGGUGGGGUAAAGGCCUACCAAGGCGACGAUCCGUAACUGGUCUGAGAGGAUGAUCAGUCACACUGGGACUGAGACACGGUCCAGACUCCUACGGGAGGCAGCAGUGGGGAAUAUUGGACAAUGGGCGAAAGCCUGAUCCAGCCAUGCCGCGUGUGUGAAGAAGGUCUUCGGAUUGUAAAGCACUUUAAGUUGGGAGGAAGGGCAGUAAGUUAAUACCUUGCUGUUUUGACGUUACCAGCAGAAUAAGCACCGGCUAACUUCGUG